rnacentral:rRNA from 1 species
GACGAACGCUGGCGGCGUGCUUAACACAUGCAAGUCGAACGGAAAGGCCCUGCUUUUGUGGGGUGCUCGAGUGGCGAACGGGUGAGUAACACGUGAGUAACCUGCCCUUGACUUUGGGAUAACUUCAGGAAACUGGGGCUAAUACCGGAUAGGAGCUCCUGCUGCAUGGUGGGGGUUGGAAAGUUUCGGCGGUUGGGGAUGGACUCGCGGCUUAUCAGCUUGUUGGUGGGGUAGUGGCUUACCAAGGCUUUGACGGGUAGCCGGCCUGAGAGGGUGACCGGCAACAUUGGGACUGAGAUACGGCCAGGACGCCUACGGGAGGCAGCGGUGGGAAUAUUGCACAAUGGGCGGAAGCCUGAUGCAGCAACGCCGCGUGCGGGAUGACGGCCUUCGGGUUGUAAACCGCUUUCGCCUGUGACGAAGCGUGAGUGACGGUAAUGGGUAAAGAAGCACCGGCUAACUACGUG